rnacentral:tRNA from 1 species
GGUCGCAUGGAUGAGUGGUUUAGUCACUGGUCUGCAAAACCAGGUACAGCGGUUCGAGUCCGCUUGCGACCU